CCUACGGGGGGCAGCAGUGGGGAAUAUUGGACAAUGGGGGCAACCCUGAUCCAGCCAUGCCGCGUGUGUGAAGAAGGCCCUCGGGUUGUAAAGCACUUUCAGUGAGGAAGAACGCCUGGUGGUUAAUACCCAUCAGGAAAGACAUCACUCACAGAAGAAGCACCGGCUAACUCCGUGCCAGCAGCCGCGGUAAUACGGAGGGUGCGAGCGUUAAUCGGAAUUACUGGGCGUAAAGCGCGCGUAGGUGGCUUGAUAAGCCGGUUGUGAAAGCCCCGGGCUCAACCUGGGAACGGCAUCCGGAACUGUCAAGCUAGAGUGCAGGAGAGGAAGGUAGAAUUCCCGGUGUAGCGGUGAAAUGCGUAGAGAUCGGGAGGAAUACCAGUGGCGAAGGCGGCCUUCUGGACUGACACUGACACUGAGGUGCGAAAGCGUGGGUAGCAAACAGGAUUAGAUACCCUGAUAGUC
rnacentral:rRNA from 1 species